GGGGCUGAUGAAGUGGGGGCUGGUGGGCUAGAAGGGGAUAGGUGGAGAGAGUGUUUGGGGGUGACGUCGCGGGUCAAGCACAGGUCAGCUGUGGGCGGCACGGACGAGCUGGCAACACUGCUAGCGUUGUGCGGGGGGGUGAGCACGGCCACGAGAGUGACGGGUGGUGGGGAGGAGCAGCCGCAGGGGUUUUUCCCUUUUUCCUGGUGAAAACCAAGAGGGAGGGAGAAAGGCACGAGGCGAGAGGGGAGGGGCUUGUUAAGCCUUUGCUUUUCUGUUGAAAACCGAGAAAGAGAAGAGAAAAGAACUGGAUCGGGGCUUUGGCAACAGGGGCAAAGUCGGCCUGCUAUGAUACCAAGCUGAUGGCGGACCACUGCAGGAAAGAGAGGAGGAAGAAGAAGAGAAAGAGAGGAGGAAGAAGAAGAGAAGAAGAGAAAGAGAGGAGGAAGAAGAAAGGAGGCUAGGGUUUAUUCAAUCAUUCAACUCCUAAUUCAUAAGAGGGAUGGCCUUUAUAUAGGCCUUACAUCAGGUCAAACAAUUGACGACAUAUCAAAAUUGGACCCUCAAUCAAUUGACUAAGUCAACCGAUUGAUUACAUACCAAAAUCGAUCCAAUCACUCGACCCAAUUACACGAUUUAACAGCUAACCCAAUUGACUUAACUAAAACAAAAGCAACUAACCAAACUGACUCGACCAAUAACAAAAACAACUAACCAAAUUGACUCGACCAAUAAUAAAAACAACUAAUUGACUCCAUCAUCUGAAUGAGGGGCUCUGAUGUCCCCAUCAUCAACCCUUUAUAGUCAAAUUUUGGUAAAUUAGAAAUUAUACCAAUGAUAAAGUAGCAUUACUUAACUUUGUUUAUUUUGUGGCAUUACAUUAUUGUACAAAGCAAGUGAGAAAGUAAACAAAAGCAGAUUAGCUAAGAAACAGCCUCCAGGUAACUACAGCCUCGCAGUCCAUAUAGCCAACUGAAACACCA
rnacentral:lncRNA from 1 species